AUAAUAUUUGAAAUGUAAAUAAAGAAAAUAUCUAAUAAAAAAAUCAAAAUGUGUCACCUUUUAAGAGAUGAAGAUGAAAGUAAUGAAUGAUGAAACAGAAGAAACAGCUGCAUAGAAAAUUGUCCAAAAUUCAGGACCAGAAAAUUAUAAGGGGAAAAUGCAAAGCAGGACUUGAAGCCAGCACUGCCACCUACAAGCGAGGACUGUGAAAGGGAAAAAGACUGAAACUCCAGUCAUCUGGAUAUUUGUCCAAGCUGCCAGAAAACUAAGAAUAGACCUGUAGAGCGGGGCUUCUGGUUUAUACAAAAUAGAAAUGUGUUUAAAAUAAGAAAAGAAAAAGAACUUCAAAGCCUUGGCAUUAUUUGAA
ensembl:lncRNA